UAGAAAUCAAAACUAAAUCGAAUGAUUUUUGCUUUACUUUAUACAAUUGCUUAAAUGGAUUCUUUAGAAAAACAUGUUCAGAAAUAUUUUUUUAGUAUUGGAUGUGACCUAAUGAGAGGGCCCCUCCCCCAGCUUCCCAAAAAAUAACACAUAUCAUAUAAGUUGGGUUGAUUGACCAUAUGAUUAAAAGAUCCUCAGACAAUUCAUAUUAUCGCGCGCCUGACACAACCAACAACGAUAUGCCUGAAGGACAAUAGGUUAUUUUGCAGGAAAAGGGGGGACACCCAGCUAAAAUGACAGUGUCUUUCAUCCGCGUUGUACGAGGCCUCCAUAUGUGUAAAUUACCCCGUUUGUGUGCAAUGUUCGAUUCCAAAAAUCAAAAUUUAGACGUUAUUUCAACCCCUAGAAUCUUCAUUUCACAACUUGAAGAGUUUUCAAGGAAAAAAAAAGGAUGUGCGUUGGAAAAUAAUUAUGGCUGCAAUCAAGUUACUAUGAAAACCUAUUUGAUUAGCGGCCACACUUUACUCAAAUUGCAGCUAUAAAAUUAAGAACAAUUCGCCUGUAAUGAUUAUGGACUGGAUUUUAUUUUGGGAGGGUGGAAUAAAAGUGGAUAUAGCAUAAAUUAUCCCGUAAUUAUACACCAGUGUGGCCUCAAUUAUCCUCUUAUCAAAAAUGGUUGUCUAAAUGCAGCGUUUAGUUUCAAUUUUCUCCUUUUCUGAAACAAGAACUUGGUACCUUGCUAUUAUCGUCAGCUUACGGUUGUUAUUUACUUUGUGGGAUUUAAAAGUGCACAACCCAGCAGGAUAAUCAUUUUACAGCAGCGGACCCGGAGAGGAGCACUGAGGCGGGGAUGAGAGCAGAAGACUCCCAGACGGAUUGGUUCACGCGCUUAUUUGUCACUUUUUAUUUGGGAAUAUUACAUUUUCGGGAGAGCAAAGGAUGUUGCAGGUACACCUCCAUCCCCUCUUGGCAGCUCCAUCUCCUGCUCCCCCGUCUCCUUACCCUCUCUCCGUUGGUUGGUUUCCACAGCUGUGGUGAGUGAGGGGCAGAUGACCGGAGAAUUGGCCCCUGGGAGAGCGCUGAGCCAUCCUGGUGCUAUUAGGCUCGUGGCUAAUAAUAGGUGUUUCAGACCGGGGGAAGAUCAAUCAGGGGGGGAAUCAUGGGGAAUGUUCUGAGCAGUGCUUUUUACACAUCGGCCCAGAUGGAUGAAAUUACACUUGUCAGUUUUUAGUUGCAUUACUCCCAAAUUGGUUGUCUACUCUUUUUUUUCCCUCAUCUCCCUCCCUCAGACCCUCUCCUCUCUUUUCUCUCACUUUGCCCCAUUCAUGUGUCAGUGGCCUGUUAAAAGGAUUCUUUGGUGAAAUCCCUGUCAUUUUUGUCUUUUCCCUGUUUAGCCCUCAGCCAGCAACUUUAUUGCCGGCUUGCAUGCACUUAGAAGAAAGUCUUAAGGCUGGCUCAAUUUUCAUGUUAACAGCGAGUUGCAGCUGACAUUCUGUAUGUGUUCUGUGUGCAUAAUGAAGCUACUGGAUUUUUUUUAUAGUCAAAUUCUGAGAGAAAGGCUGGAGAAAGUGGUGGAUCCUCAAAGAGAAACACUACAUGAUGUAUUGGUUAAAGCAGUAAUCACUCUGUACGAUGCAGCACUCACCAAAGUGUUUAUAAAAUAUUGAAGACUUAGCCACUACUGUGUGCUUUCUGUCAUCAUUAAGGCACCAGAGAACCAAGACUACAUGUUAGGUAAUUGUUAAUUAAAGAGUGAUUACAUACAUUUGACAUUAACUAAUUGUGAUUUAAAUUGACACAAAUAAAAUUGAGUUUAUUGUUAUUUUUUUGUAAUAAUGUCCUGAUUAUAUUUCCUCAAUUAAAGUGUUUCAAAACAAUGA